UAAUACAUGCAAGUCGAACGGGGAGUUUUGCUUCGGUAGAACUCCGAGUGGCGAACGGGUGAGUAACGCGUUGGUGACCUACCCCGAAGAGCGGGAUAACAGUUCGAAAGGACUGCUAAUACCGCAUGUGGAUGGAGAGAUUAGAAGCUCUGCAUCGAAAGGAGCAAUCCGCUUCGGGAGGGGCCUGCGACCCAUCAGCUAGUUGGUAGGGUAAUGGCCUACCAAGGCUGCGACGGGUAGGGGACCUGAGAGGGUGACCCCCCACACUGGCACUGAAACACGGGCCAGACACCUACGGGUGGCAGCAAUAGGGAAUAUUGCACAAUGGGCGCAAGCUUGAUGCAGCAACGCCGCGUGCGCGAUGAAGGCCUUCGGGUCGUAAAGCGCUUUUCUGGAGGAAGAGCAAGGACGGUACUUCAGGAAGAAGGAUCGGCUAACUACGUGCCAGCAGCCGCGGUAACACGUAGGAUCCGAGCGUUAUCCGAAUUUACUGGGCGUAAAGCGCGUGCAGGUGGUUUGGUAAGUUGGACGUGAAAUCUCCCGGCUCAACUGGGAGGGGUCGUUCAAGACUGCCAGACUAGAGGGCAGUAGAGGGAGGCGGGAAUUCCCGGUGUAGUGGUGAAAUGCGUAGAUAUCGGGAGGAACACCAGUUGGCGAAAGCGGCCCUCCUGGGCUGCACCUGACGCUCAGACGCGAAAGCUAGGGGAGCGAACGGGAUUAGAUACCCCGGUAGUCCUAGCUGUAACGAUGUGGACUUGGCGUCGGUGGGUUCAAAUCCGCCGGUGCCGCAGCUAACGCGCUAAGUCCACCGCCUGGGGGCUACGGCCGCAAGGGUUAAAACUCAAAGGAAUUGGCGGGGGCCCGCACAAGCAGCGGAGCGUGUGGUUUAAUUCGAUGCUACACGGAGAACCUUUACCCGGGUUUGACAUGCAGGUGGUAGGGAACUGAAAGGGGACCGACCCUUCGGGGAGCCUGCACAGGUGCUGCAUGGCUGUCGUCAGCUCGUGUCGUGAGAUGUCCGGUUAAGUCCGGUAACGAGCGCAACCCCUGCUGGAUGUUACAAGUGUCAUCCAGGACUGCCGGUUUAGUGCCGGAGGAAGGCGGGGAUGACGUCAAGUCAGCAUGGCCUUUAUAUCCGGGGCUACACACACGCUACAAUGGCCAGUACAAUGGGUCGCAAAGCCGCAAGGUGGAGCCAAUCCCCAAAGCUGGUCUCAGUUCGGAUUGCAGGCUGCAACUCGCCUGCAUGAAGUCGGAGUUGCUAGUAACCGCGCGUCAGCCAUAGUGCGGUGAAUACGUUCCCGGGCAUUGCACACACCGCCCGUCACGUCAUGGGAGCUGGCAACACCUGAAGCCGGUAUCCGAACCGU
rnacentral:rRNA from 1 species